UACGAAGGGGGCUAGCGUUGCUCGGAAUGACUGGGCGUAAAGGGCGCGUAGGCGGUUCGUACAGUCAGACGUGAAAUUCCCGGGCUCAACCUGGGGGCUGCGUUUGAUACGUGCGGGCUUGAGUUCGGAAGAGGGUCGUGGAAUUCCCAGUGUAGAGGUGAAAUUCGUAGAUAUUGGGAAGAACACCGGUGGCGAAGGCGGCGACCUGGUCCGGAUACUGACGCUGAGGCGCGAAGACGUGGGGAGCAAACAGG
rnacentral:rRNA from 1 species